AACUCCAAUGGCAUCUGUGUCAGCACGCCCACACCAGGCCACAACAAUGGCUGCCACCAAUGUCCCAGUCCCUGGAGAGGUCUCACCUCUCACUGAGAUGCACUCAGGGCCUAUCAGGCCCAUGCUUUCUUCUGGAUUCACCAGCAGUGAAAAAAAGAUAUUCUGAUUCCCCAGCUCAGAGGCUUCCCUCUGUGCCACUGGAGCCGAUUGCUGACUACUAUUGAAUUUAAGCAAAUUUUCAUAUGUUUGCUUAAAUUUGCAGUGUGAAGAAGUACUUGCUUCCGAAUCUUGAUUUGAGAAGCAUGAGCAGAUUUGCUAACCCCACCAGGUGAGGCCUUUUGGGCAGACAUCAGUGUCAAUAGCCAUGUGCUGCUCUUGCCCUGGGUGUUUGGAGGUGUUUGCACUAUUCAACCACAUGUUUUUAGCGACCUUGCUGCAGAGAUUGUCAACUUUCCUGUUUAUUAGGUAUAGACAAGAUGAUCCCUCUGAAACUCUGGGGUUGGGAGGUGUCAGUUCCACACUGUGAUUGUUGUAAUUUCAAUCCGGGAGAAACCAGAAAAUGAGACUCAAAGGUGAGUCACAGGCGACGGCCGGAGGAGGUGGGCAGAAUUUUCCUGGAGUGUUGGUGCAGGGCCUUCUGUCUGACU